UUUGCUUCUGAAGAGAAAGAGCCCUUGUACAGAAUCCAGUGAGAAAGAGCCCUGGUACAGAAUCCUGGGACUCAUAUACAGUUUAAAUACGAAAGGGUAACUGUUGUCUAUCACUUUGUAGUCAGAUAGCGUUUAGAACUACUGGAGCAUAAAUGCUUAUAUAUAUACACCUCGUAUGAGAUGUCCUGGUUUCCUGCUUAUUCAACAUAGUUUUCCUAGAAUACAAAAUAACCACUAUACUGGUUGGUUUCUUAGUAUAACCGGUAAUAACUUCUUUACUAAUGCUCAUACUACAGUCUGUUGUCGACAAAGAACGAAGAGGAGAUUACCUGGGAAAACUGUUCAGGUUGUGCCACACACCACAGAUGAAAUACAACAGUUGAUGGCACAGAAGAGCCAGCUGAUGUCUGUGUCAUCAAACUUGGGGGCACAAUAGGAGACAUUGAAUCAAUGCCUUUCAUUGAAGCAUUAGGUCAUUUUUCAUAUCGUGCUGACCAUGACCACUUCUCCCCAAGUGCAAAAACUCCUUAUAUACCUUAAGAGGGGUCUAAAAUUGUGAUGAUUCUUUUGGCCCUUCACUUGCAUUCUCUACAAGUGGGGAUUGAGUUUGAAGGGCAGAUGACUUUGAAGGGCACAGAGGCGCUCCUGAUGUUCCUCCUGAUGGAGUCAGAAGAGAACCUCAGAAAGGGCGAUUGCCCAAUGGGAGGACAACUGGUCCAGCACAUCGCUCAUCAAAGGGAAACUGGACUGCAGAAGAGGGAUCAAUAAGGACGCUUGGCCACAAGAAGAGGAAAUCAAGCUCAUCCAUGCUCAUCAAACCUAUGGAAACAAAAUAACCGAUUUAGAAUUAAGAGUAGUACUGAGCUUCAGUCUGUUAGUAAAGCAAAACUGAUUGCAUUAGCUCAGUACAAAACAGAAGUAUGAUGGCAAUAAAUUGUCAAGUGAAUUCUGAAGAUGAAGCAGACAUGGAUCUAACUAUAAGAAUAUAUAUGAAGGAUCCUGCAACAAUCUAUUUAAUUUUUUUCCCUGGCGAUUUCCUAUUGUUAGAGGUAGAGGGUUGAACAAGUCUUACUCUCCACUAGGAUAAAUAAACUGAUGUGCCUAUUCAAUGUGGUAUGAUCUUUUGACAGAUGCAUGAAGCAGUGCAGAAUGUUCAGUUUUGCAGCACAUUUGAGAAAACAACACUAGAACUAAUAUCAAAGUUAGUUUCCACUCUGACUAUUUGGUGACUUGUGCUUCAGGUCGCGACCAGCUUAAAUUAAUCACACAGUCAUUUCUAGCUCAACUUUCAUGAUAUUUCUGUUGAGCAUAUCCUCCUAAACCAAUCAGGACCAUGAUCUUUUGUAUGAAGUUCUCUCCUUGUUGUAAAUUGCAAAAAACCAUAAUAUUUUUAGUUUGUUCAGUUUCUUUUCCUCCAUUCAAGGCUGCUGUCUCGCCUGUCUCCUUUGAGGACACUAAGCCUGCAAGUAAGACUUUACAAUUUUUCCUAUUAAUUAUGAUUGGUUGCUAAUAACCUUUUGCCUAACUAGACUUCACCCAUGCUAAAAAGUUAGAAAACAAUGUUGAGUUGUUUUUUCUUUUCUUCUACAAUUUCAUGUCAGUGCAUGAUUGGACUGGUAUAUUUUAGUUAUUACAAUUAUAUUCCCACCACCAGUAUUUUAACGUAUUAUCAUGCAUCUUAUUGAUUUGACAGCUCUGAGAAUCUUUGUCAUGGUCGUGUGAUAGUGGUGAACAUGCUGCAGUUUAUAUUCUGUAAACAACCUAACCUGCUUUAGUGAAGUGCUUCAUAAUUCAGAUUAACAUGUCAUGUUUAGAUUGGUCCAGUGGAUUACGGCUUGCUUAAUCCGAAUGGAACAAUAUAUGUUUAAAAAUAUAUGCACGCUAUCUCAUCAACACUUGUAGUUUUUUUUAUUGCAGAUGUUAGAUUGGCAUACAUACAGACAUUGUGUUGGCAUCAAAUUUGUGCUUGUGGGUCGAGCUGAGGAGCUAAACGAGUUCCAUGAUGUACCACGCUCAAGUUUGAAGAUUUAAAUUCUGCAGUAAACUAUAUGUAUCAAUGUAUGAGUACAUAACCAGCAGCUCGAGUAUUUUAGGAAUAUAAAAACUAAAGAAUGUUUGUAAGAGUCCAUUUAGUUUAUAUAUAUUGAUUGCUACAGUAUCGAUAAAAAGGUUAAUUUCUUUA